UAAACGACUCUCGGCAACGGAUAUCUCGGCUCAUGCAUCGAUGAAGAACGUAGCAAAAUGCGAUACUUGGUGUGAAUUGCAGAAUCCCGUGAACCAUCGAGUUUUUGAACGCAAGUUGCGCCCGAAGCCUUUUGGUUGAGGGCACGUCUGCCUGGGCGUCACAU
rnacentral:rRNA from 1 species